AUGACUCAAAAGACUACAGAAGUGGAAAGAAUGAAUUCCUCGCUUAUCCCAUCCUCCUGCACUGCAGCCUUAGGCUCCUGCAGGGAACAGAUGACACGACACCAUCAACAUAAUGGUGCACAGCGAGCAGGAGUGCUUCUCACCGCAUGGUCACAUUGCUGUCGGAGCAUUGGAGACGUACCGGAGCCAGCUGCCAGCGAGGAGCUCCUACCAGUACGGCCAUGGCUACUGGGGCUCAGCGCCCGGGCCUUUCCCCAGCCCCUCAGCAAGGCUGUAGCUGCUCUUCUACACCUGUUAGCAUCCAAGAUGUCAACUAAAACUAGCUCUGCACUGCUUAUUACUGCUACACCUGAGUUAGCGACAGCUUUCCCAGGUAACAAACGCGAAACCUCCUGGAGAGCUAAUUGGUGUCCUCGGUUAUCUGUUCCUUCAAGGUUUUCUUCCACGCUUACAUCUGUUUCUGUACCCAGCAGUGUUUGGGCACCACCCGGGGCAGCUUUACUCAGCUGGCUUCUGUUGUUUUUGAUCUUUAAAUACAAGGGGAAGGUUCACACAAUCGCAGAACCACAGACGAGCUUGGGUUGGAGGGGCCCUACAGCCCAUGCAGUCCCACCUCGUGCCACGGGCAGGACUGCCACCCACCAGCUCAGCUGCCAGGGCGCCAGCCAACCUGGCCUUGAUGGGGCACCCACAGCUCUCUGGGCAGCUCUGCCAGCUCCUCGCCGCCCUCUGGAAAAGAACAUUUUCCUAACACCCAACCUGACCCUUCCCUGGCGCAUCUCCAAGGUCCUGCCGCUGUCACCAGAGGGAAGAGACCCCCGCCCAGACCCGAGCCGCGAUGAUGGCGGCGCACCCAGCCCCGCCCUCCGCCCGGCCGCCAUCUCCAUGGCCGUGCCGGGGGCGCCCCCUGGCGGCGGCGAGGCAGAGCCGCCCCGCACGAGUCCUAGAAGGCUGCGGUACCGACCUCCGACCGCCAGGGGGCGCCGCGUCUCCAGGCCGUGCCUGGCCAUGCGUGCCUGCGCGCUGCCGCGUCCCGUCUGCGUCAGCGCCCCGCGGCGAGUGCAGCGCUGCAAGAUGGCUCCUGCUGCUGGCCGCUGUGCGCGUGCUGUUUUCGCUACGACGGAGAGCGCAGGGACAGGUUUCCGAACAGAGCAGCCUGUCGGCCCCUGCACAGCUAGCUCUGUGGUUUUGAUGAAGAGAUGCCGUUUUGCAGUGAAAAUACAAAGAAAGAAGGAAGAGAAGCAGUCCUUUCCUUCAGAGGAUAAAGGUUAA
rnacentral:lncRNA from 1 species